GUCACAUGUGAGAAGAAGAAAUUGUAUGACACAUGUAAGAAGUAUAGACAGUGUCACAUGUGAGAAGAAGAAAUUGUAUGACACAUGUAAGAAGUAUAAACUGUUGUCACAUGUGAGAAGAAGAAAUUGUAUGACGUUUGAAAAAAGUAUAAACUGUGUCACACAUGUAAGACGCAUUCAGUGAUCGAUGAUUCGAUGAUAUACUCUACCAUAUUCAUUUCCAAUGAACAUAUUGUAAGAUGAUUGUUCAGUUUGAUCAAGACUGAAUAACAUGUAUAAUAUUAUUUUGUGACUGUGAAAGUGUGAAUGUUAAAUCUAUACUGCUGAAGGGAUGUGUUGGAUAGAUAAAGGUCCAUAAAUAUUUCUUUGACACAUUAUGUACUAAGUAGAAGAUAAUGUUACAGGCAGGAUUUCAAUAAAAGCGUAUUCUAAAACA